CACGUAGGGCGCAAGCGUUGUCCGGAAUUAUUGGGCGUAAAGAGCUCGUAGGCGGUCUGUUACGUCUGCUGUGAAAACCCGGGGCUUAACCCUGGGCUUGCAGUGGAUACGGGCAGACUAGAGGCAGGUAGGGGAGAAUGGAAUUCCCGGUGUAGCGGUGAAAUGCGCAGAUAUCGGGAGGAACACCGGUGGCGAAGGCGGUUCUCUGGGCCUGACCUGACGCUAAAGCGCGACAGCAUGGGGAGCAAACGGG
rnacentral:rRNA from 1 species